UACAGAGGGGGCAAGCGUUGUUCGGAAUUACUGGGCGUAAAGGGCGCGUAGGCGGCCUGUUAAGUCGAACGUGAAAUCCCCGGGCUCAACCCGGGAACUACGUCCGAAACUGGCAGGCUCGAAUUCGGGAGAGGGAUGCGGAAUUCCAGGUGUAGCGGUGAAAUGCGUAGAUAUCUGGAGGAACAUCGGUGGCGAAGGCGGCAUCCUGGACCGAUAUUGACGCUGAGGCGCGAAAGCCAGGGGAGCAAACGGG
rnacentral:rRNA from 1 species